AGACAUACAGGUGGUAUAGAGUGUGCAAACAGCCUUGGCUUAGUUUACAUCCCAAAACGGACACCUUUCAGGUAAGCUUUUAUUUAGUAUACUGUAUGCAAUGCACCCCAAUCUCCUGUUUAAUAAAUAUUUGCCGAAUGAGAGGUGAUUAUUAGGGAAUAUUCACCGAGACAAAGUGGAGGUGAAUAUCCCCCUACGAUCACUGAGCCUGAGGCAAAUAAUUGUUUUAGUAUUUUACACAAGCCUUUUGUGUUUGUUUAAACUGAAUUUAUUUUAAUUAAUUUAUUUUUUAUAUUCAUCUGUGGGUGCAUCAGAAUAAAGGGAAUACCACAUCCACAUUGGAUUUCUUAUAUUCACGUGUGCAAAAAUACUAGAGACCAGCAUAUUCAUCAAAUAAUGGGAUUAGAUAUUUUUGUGCACAAACGAUUUAACCCAUUGAGUGGAGCACUCUCCCCCUAUCAAGUAAAAUUGUCUGGCGUUAGACAGAGUAAAAUAAUAUGGCGUCAGACAGAGUAAAAUAAUAAAGUAGGGUGCAUCUGGGCACAUUGCCACUUUUAAAAGGGUUAAAUAUAAGGUUAACUGCAUUCUGAAAAAUGAAAUGGAUUUAAUUUAGAUACAGUGCAUACAAAGCAAGAAGACAGCUCACAGCCAUAGAUUGGAACAUCCACAUAAACCUUCCCCAGGCCAAAACAAAAUCUGGUGGUGAUAUUGUUACAAGAAAGUAUAACCCCAGGACCCGACAAUGGGAUUGCAAGGCGGUGAAAGUUGAGAAAGGAUACGACUACAUCCCAGUGCUCAUUUCCAAAAUUUUAAAGAGAAGAGUGGAUGAUGAUGAUGUUGGAGGUGUAACAAGAGCCAUUGAUUUGAACACAAGUGACCCUGCUCUAAUUUCCCCAACUAUUGCCCACAUACCACCACCACCUACAAAUGAAAUUGUUGAGAGGAGGAGCAGAUUCAUAAUAGAAUAGUCAGAUACUUGUCCAUUCCCUUUUUACACUGUACAUAUAUCAACUGUUAUUGUGCUUACAAAUAUAUUUAGAUAUGCUAUAAAAUGA